GACGAGCGCUGGCGGCGUGCUUAACACAUGCAAGUCGAACGGUGAAGCGCCUUCCUUUUUGGUGGGUGUGGAUGAGUGGCGAACGGGUGAGUAACACGUGAGUAACCUGCCCCCUUCUUCUGGAUAACCGCAUGAAAGUGUGGCUAAUACGGGAUAUUCUGGGUCUGUCGCAUGAUGGGUCUGGGAAAGAUAUUGUUUCGGUGGGGGAUGGGCUCGCGGCCUAUCAGCUUGUUGGUGGGGUGAUGGCCUACCAAGGCGGUGACGGGUAGCCGGCCUGAGAGGGUGGACGGUCACACUGGGACUGAGACACGGCCCAGACUCCUACGGGAGGCAGCAGUGGGGAAUAUUGCACAAUGGGCGCAAGCCUGAUGCAGCGACGCCGCGUGAGGGAUGGAGGCCUGCGGGUUGUGAACCUCUUUCGCCAGUGAAGCAGGCCUGCCUCGUUUGUGGGUGGGUUGACGGUAGCUGGAUAAGAAGCGCCGGCUAACUACGUG
rnacentral:rRNA from 1 species